AGGACGAACGCUGGCGGCGUGCUUAACACAUGCAAGUCGAGCGGAAAGGCCCUUCGGGGUACUCGAGCGGCGAACGGGUGAGUAACACGUGGGUAACCUGCCCCUUGCUCUGGGAUAACUCCGGGAAACCGGGGCUAAUACCGGAUAUGACACUCGCAGGCAUCUGCUGGGUGUGGAAAGUUUUUCGGCGAGGGAUGGGCCCGCGGCCUAUCAGCUUGUUGGUGGGGUGAUGGCCUACCAAGGCAGUGACGGGUA
rnacentral:rRNA from 1 species